rnacentral:rRNA from 1 species
UACACAUGCAAGUCGAACGGAGCGCGGGGGCAACCUGGCGGCGAGUGGCGAACGGGUGAGUAAUGUAUCGGAACGUAUCCUGUAAUGGGGGAUAGCCAGUCGAAAGAUUGGGUAAUACCGCAUACGCACGAGAGUGGAAAGUGGAGGAUCGCAAGACUUCACGUUAUAGGAGCGGCCGAUAUCUGAUUAGCUAGUUGGUGGGGUAAAGGCCUACCAAGGCGACGAUCAGUAGCAGGUCUGAGAGGAUGAUCUGCCACACUGGGACUGAGACACGGCCCAGACUCCUACGGGAGGCAGCAGUGGGGAAUUUUGGACAAUGGGCGAAAGCCUGAUCCAGCCAUGCCGCGUGCAGGAAGAAGGCCUUCGGGUUGUAAACUGCUUUAGUUCGGGAAAAAGGGAUGCUUGGUUAAUACCCGAGUGUUUUGAUGGUACCGGAAGAAUAAGCACCGGCUAACUACGUGCCAGCAGCCGCGGUAAUACGUAGGGUGCGAGCGUUAAUCGGAAUUACUGGGCGUAAAGCGUGCGCAGGCGGUCUUGUAAGACAGUCGUGAAAUCCCUGGGCUUAACCUAGGAACUGCGAUUGUGACUGCAAGGCUAGAGUGUGUCAGACGGGGGUGG